rnacentral:lncRNA from 1 species
CCCUUUUUCAAAGUUAGUUUGUCAGGGGCGGAUCCAGCCAUUUCAAAAAGAGGUUCCCAACCCAGAGGAAGGGGUUCCCAACCCAGAGGAAGGGGGUCCAACUAUAUGCUCCCAUUCAAAUGCAUUGAUCGUCCAAAAAUGGGGAUUCCAACCCUACGAAUCCCUCCCUGGAUCCGCCAAUGGUUUGUCGUUCCCUAACGAAAUAAAGAGAAUUCAAUCACGUAUAAAAAUUCAUAAAAAUAACGGAAACAUAAAAAUCAGAUACAGACAAUCUAAUUUAAAAAAUA